UAUUUUGAGGGGGAGGGGCAGAGAGAGAAUCCUGAGCAGGCUCCACUGCCCUCAGGGCGGAGCCGCAGGCAGGGCUCGACCCUAUGAACCUGUGAGGUCAUGACCCCAGCCAAGAUCAAGAGUCAGAGGCUGAGCCACCCAGGCCCACCCCUCAUUGCCACCAGCUGUUACCGCACUGGAGUCUCUCCCACAGAGACCGUAAAGUGAGAGGAAAGGAAAGAAAACCCCUCCGCUGCAGGGGUUUGUCUGCCCUGGUUCCCUCUGUUCCUCGCCCAACUUCCCCUCUGUCUUGGGCCCGCCCCACUCUAGGCAGACAAGACCUCGGGGUCUUGACCCCACUGACCACUUUCUCCCCAUGUGAACCCUCUCUGCCGCGUCCCUCGCGGCCCCCACUCCUGAGAGUCCGCUCACUUCCGGGGAGGCUGCCUCUCAGCCUUGUUUGCGGCCCCACCUUCCUUGCCGCCCCCCCCCGCCCCCCUCGCGGGGGAGGGUCCGGCCCGCAGGCGCCCCAGCACCCGAGUCCGAGCUGCGCGGCUUUUUAGUGGAAGCGCAGGGCCCACGGCCGGGAGCAUGAACGGCGAAUACAGACAGCUUGGUUUCCUCGCAUGUGAAACGGGACGAGGAAGAGGUUGGUGAAAAUAACGUGAACAAUGAUACCAUCUCGUGUGGGCACGUGGGAAGGGAACGAAUUCAACCUCUUUUUGAUUACCUUGUCAAGCCAACGCCACCUGACCUUAAUCUGGACUACAGAGACCUGAAACUGACACCAGCCCCCUCAUAUGAAGCAAGCCCUAUACAGCAACCACAGCAUCACAAGCAAAUCAGGUUAUGAUGCUGAUUGACAUACGAUACCCUGUAGGCGAUGUGGGAGAGAGAGGCCAUGACUGCAGGAGUAGAGUCCUUCAUGGAGGUCUGAGGAGGCUCUAAAAACAACACCACCAGAAAUUCUCCCAAGUCUGCAUCCCACGGCAAUGCAGACUUCUGCAGAGUGCGUCCAGGUGUAGCUGCACAGUGCACCCCAUCAGAUUAAGACCUGGCCUGCUCUUAGACCAUAGAUCUUGCCAGAUACAGUUCAUGCUCCAUUAUCCACUCUAAUGGAGGAAAGUUGGACAGCAUAAUUAAAAACAACGGGCAACCUUGAAAGGACCAGAAAUCCACGGGUAACAUCCAGUCCCGUCUUGUGCUGUUGGAUGAUGUGGUGUCAGUCCGUAUGCUGAGCAGAGCACAAGGCCUCAGGCUGACAGAAAAGUCACUGUCUAAAAUAUGAAUGGUCUCUGUGGCUCGAUGGGGGGAAACAGACCUCUGAAGCGUCCCACAAAUCCAUGAAGUGCUCUGGCCCAAUGUGGUCACAUGACACCUCUCCUCACACAUCACUGGUUGGAAGCCGCCACACGAUUUAUGAUUCGGGUCCUGCCAGGUCAUAAGCGGCCCCGUGUGAGAUCCAUAUGUCUGGAAGACAGAGAGCUGAGAACAUUUGGUGAGCAGCCCUGAGACUGCCACACGUCACAACAACACUGCCCUCACAUAGGGUGUGGUGGGCCUUCUGUGUCUCCCCCAGGCACCGAGAGCCAGGCAGAUGGUCAUGAGAGUUGUUACAUAGUUUGUGACUCCAGCCAACCGGGCAUCAUUAAGAAGCCCAGAGCAGAGAUGUAGGAUGCCAAUCACCGGAGAAGGAGGGCUGCCCCACCCUGUGGAACCUUCCAGGAGAAAAUCUGGCCCGGCUGUCGACUUCUCCCUCUUGAAGAAAAGUAGUGCUAAUAGAAAUCAUGAAGUAACCUAACUCCACUGAAAAGGGCACAGUCUGUUUCUGAAAAGCAGAACUUUGAUGCACACACACAACACGUCUCUGUACACACACACGUAUACGAAGUGGUCCUGAAAUAGUACUUUUUGAGUACGUUCUGUGCUCAAACUAGCCUAAGUAGCCCAGCAAGUCUCCACCAGGACCCUUGUCCGCGAUAGGCAAUUAGCCCAGCACUCUUUUUCUCUUAAUUGUCUUUUGAGAAUGGUUGAAAUCAGAUUUUUAAAAAUUUGCCUCUUUGAGGUAAUUUAUGUGUAAAUUUGCAUUGCUUAUAGAGAAAGGAGUUGCUGGGCAAAUUUUUGCAGUGUUGUGUGCUUGAGGAUUUAUAUGGGUGGGUUUCCUUACCUUUUCCUAUGAAAAAAAAAGUAAAUUGCAUGAAAUUAACAUUAAAACUUCUUUGUUUCCUAAAACACAUCUGGGCCGGCCACAAAAGAAGAACAAAUCCUGUUUAUCUCUAUUUGCUCGGAUCAACUGUUUGAAAACCUGAGUAGGGGGUUUUAGUCUAGAAACAGCAUCCCGUAAAGGAUUGGAAGGUUCUUGGACUUUUAUGUACAUUUGUGUACUUUAGACCAGUGCUGUCCAAUAGAACUUUUGUGAUGAUAAAGAUGUUUGUAUCUAUACUCUUCAAGAUGGUAGCCACUAGCUUCAUGGGGUUGUUGGGCACUGGAAAUAUGCUAGUGCAGCCGAGGAGCCGAAUGUUUUCAUUUCCUUUCCUUUUAAUUUAUUUAAAUUUAAAUGUAAAUGGCCACAUGUGGCUAGUGACUACCAUAUUGGACAGUGCAUCUUUAGAAACUUGACCCAGAGCCUGAGUGAUCUCACGGUCUGGCAACCUUGCUUCCUGGCCUGGCUGUAGGAAAGUGUGUCUGCUGUGUAGACCUCACUCCACCCUCUUUGUAGUUCCCUAAUGUCUGCACACACGCAAGAUAUUAGUCCAGAAAAGAUGGGUGGCUUUUUUCAGUUAUUUAAAUUCAUUAUUUUCAUGCAAUUCACUUAGAAUUCUUCAGACUCCCAAAAUUCACUGGGCUCUGAGACAGCACACCUCGUCAUGGGACGGUGUGUCACAGACAGAAAAAGGAUCCUUGCCAGGGAUCCCCUUGGGACCUCCCCACUUUUUCUGCCCUUGUCAGCCAGGUCACAAUCCCUUUUCCUUUGGCUGUGACAUUAGUUCUUUGUGCCAAGGGAGAUAUAUUCUAUUUAGGUUCCUUGCCUAGACAUUUUGGAUGUAUUUUAGGCAGGCAGAUUAUCUUUUCCUCCCUGUCACCUGUGGUGGAAAUUAAAAGGACAGAAAGUCUUCGGGACUUAGGGAACAUGGAAGGAGGUCAGUCAGAUCCCCCACUUGCUCUUCAGUGUGGCACGCUGUCACAGCUCUGUUGAACAGAACUGGGACUUGCCACCCUCCGGCCCCAGCGAAUUAGAGAUAACACACACAAAUCCAGAAAACUCCUUUCCAGUUGAUGGAUCUCAGCACACAUUUGCAUCAUGGAGAUCACGACAGGGAGACCAGAGAUGUAAGGAAUUGCAGGUGCUGGAAAGACAAGGUGAAAGGCAAAAUCAGAGUUAAAAACAUCCCCAUACUCAUUGGCUUCUCGACACAGAAUGAACGUAAUUUCACGUCGUGUUUAAUUUAAUAUGGUUCAUUUGCUGAACUAAUGUGACUCAUAUUUAAAAAAAAAGCCAUUAGUACGAAGUAAUGUGACUGACUUUCACACAACCAUGUGAGAACUUAAACAUCAGAAUCCAUUUUCCCUUGAGAAUGGGCAGUUCGGGACUCAGUGGCUCAUUUCAACACUAUCGCCCUUGCUAAGUGCACUUUGAUGUCUAUCUUCUGAGCACACAGUAAACAUGUCCUUUUGAAAAUUCUUCAAAAUAGUAAAUCAACCUCAUUAUUUGAUGGUGGGUUCGAUGUG